UGAGUAACCUGCCCUUAACUCUGGGAUAAGCCUGGGAAACUGGGUCUAAUACCGGAUAUGACUCCUCAUCGCAUGGUGGGGGGUGAAAGCUUUUUGUGGUUUUGGAUGGACUCGCGGCCUAUCAGCUUGUUGGUGAGGUAAUGGCUCACCAAGGCGACGACGGGUAGCCGGCCUGAGAGGGUGACCGGCCACACUGGGACUGAGACACGGCCCAGACUCCUACGGGAGCAG
rnacentral:rRNA from 1 species